rnacentral:rRNA from 1 species
UACGUAGGGGGCUAGCGUUGUCCGGAAUCAUUGGGCGUAAAGAGCGUGUAGGCGGCCCGGUAAGUCCGUUGUAAAAGUCGAAGGCUCAACCUUCGAAUGCCGAUGGAUACUGCCGGGCUAGAGUCCGGAAGAGGCGAGUGGAAUUCCUGGUGUAGCGGUGGAAUGCGCAGAUAUCAGGAAGAACACCAAUGGCGAAGGCAGCUCUCUGGGACGGUACUGACGCUGAGACGCGAAAGCGUGGGGAGCGAACAGG